rnacentral:rRNA from 1 species
UACGUAGGGUGCGAGCGUUAAUCGGAAUUACUGGGCGUAAAGCGUGCGCAGGCGGUUUUGUAAGCCAGAUGUGAAAGCCCCGGGCUUAACCUGGGAAUGGCAUUUGGGACUGCAAGGCUUGAGUGCGGCAGAGGAGACUGGAAUUCCUGGUGUAGCAGUGAAAUGCGUAGAUAUCGUGAGGAACACCAGAGGCGAAGGCGGUUACCUGGACAGUUACUGACGCUCAGGCACGAAAGCAUGGGGAGCAAAAGGG